rnacentral:rRNA from 1 species
AGAGUUUGAUCCUGGCUCAGAACGAACGCUGGCGGCGUGGAUAAGACAUGCAAGUCGAGCGCUGAUUACAGGGUAGCAAUAUUCUGUAGUUGGAGCGGCGCAAGGGUGCGUAACACGUGGGUAAUCUGCCAUGAAGUCUGGAAUAACCUGCUGAAAGGCGAGCUAAUACCGGAUGUGAACAUCGGGCGGCAUCGUUUGAUGUUCAAAGUUGGGGACCGUAAGGCCUGACGCUUCAUGAUGAACCCGCGGCCUAUCAGCUAGUUGGUGAGGUAACGGCCCACCAAGGCUAAGACGGGUAGCUGGUCUGAGAGGACGACCAGCCACACUGGAACUGAGACACGGUCCAGACACCUACGGGUGGCAGCAGUCGAGAAUUUUUCACAAUGGGCGAAAGCCUGAUGGAGCGACGCCGCGUGGGGGAUGAAUGGCUUCGGCCCGUAAACCCCUGUCAUUCGCGAACAAUGCCUGCGGUCUAAUACGUCGCAGGUUGAUAGUAGCGGAAGAGGAAGGGACGGCUAACUCUGUGCCAGCAGCCGCGGUAAUACAGAGGUCCCAAGCGUUGUUCGGAUUCACUGGGCGUAAAGGGUGCGUAGGUGGUCGGGUAAGUCUGAUGUGAAAUCUCGGAGCUCAACUCCGAAACGGCAUUGGAUACUAUCCGGCUGGAGGGUUGGAGGGGGGACUGGAAUUCUCGGUGUAGCAGUGAAAAUGCGUAGAUAUCGAGAGGAACACCAGUGGCGAAGGCGAGUCCCCUGGACAACUCCUGACCCUAAGGCACGAAAGCUAGGGGAGCAAACAGGAUUAGAUACCCUGGUAGUCCUAGCCGUAAACGGUGCACGUUUGCUGUAAAAGGAAUCGACCCCUUUUGUGGCGUAGCUAACGCGUUAAACGUGCCGCCUGGGAAGUACGGUCGCAAGAUUAAAACUCAAAGGAAUUGACGG